rnacentral:rRNA from 1 species
UACGUAGGGACCAAGCGUUGUUCGGAUUUACUGGGCGUAAAGGGCGCGUAGGCGGCAUGACAAGUCACUUGUGAAAUCUCCGGGCUUAACUCGGAACGGUCAAGUGAUACUGUCGCGCUAGAGUGCGGAAGGGGCAAUCAGAAUUCUUGGUGUAGCGGUGAAAUGCGUAGAUAUCAAGAGGAAUACCUGAGGUGAAGACGGGUUGCUAGGCCGACACUGACGCUGAAGCGCGGAAGCCAGGGGAGCAAACGGG